rnacentral:rRNA from 1 species
CCUACGGGAGGCAGCAGUGAGGAAUAUUGGUCAAUGGGCGCGAGCCUGAACCAGCCAAGUAGCGUGAAGGAUGACUGCCCUACGGGUUGUAAACUUCUUGUAUAAAGGAAUAAAGUGAGGCACGUGUGCCUUUUUGUAUGUACUUUAUGAAUAAGGAUAGGCUAACUCCGUGCCAGCAGCCGCGGUAAUACGGAGGAUCCGAGCGUUAUACGGAUGUAUUGGGGUGAAAGGGAGCGUAGAUGGGUUGUUAAGUCAGUUGUGAAAGUUUGCGGCUCAACCGUAAAAUUGCCAUUGAUACUGGCAGUCUUGAGUACAGUUGAGGUCGGCGGCAUUCGUUGUGUAGCCG